rnacentral:rRNA from 1 species
AAAUUGAAGAGUUUGAUCAUGGCUCAGAUUGAACGCUGGCGGCAGGCCUAACACAUGCAAGUCGAGCGGUAGCACAGAGAGCUUGCUCUCGGGUGACGAGCGGCGGACGGGUGAGUAAUGUCUGGGAAACUGCCUGAUGGAGGGGGAUAACUACUGGAAACGGUAGCUAAUACCGCAUAACGUCGCAAGACCAAAGUGGGGGACCUUCGGGCCUCAUGCCAUCAGAUGUGCCCAGAUGGGAUUAGCUAGUAGGUGGGGUAACGGCUCACCUAGGCGACGAUCCCUAGCUGGUCUGAGAGGAUGACCAGCCACACUGGAACUGAGACACGGUCCAGACUCCUACGGGAGGCAGCAGUGGGGAAUAUUGCACAAUGGGCGCAAGCCUGAUGCAGCCAUGCCGCGUGUGUGAAGAAGGCCUUCGGGUUGUAAAGCACUUUCAGCGGGGAGGAAGGCGGUGAGGUUAAUAACCUUGGCGAUUGACGUUACCCGCAGAAGAAGCACCGGCUAACUCCGUGCCAGCAGCCGCGGUAAUACGGAGGGUGCAAGCGUUAAUCGGAAUUACUGGGCGUAAAGCGCACGCAGGCGGUCUGUCAAGUCGGAUGUGAAAUCCCCGGGCUCAACCUGGGAACUGCAUUCGAAACUGGCAGGCUAGAGUCUUGUAGAGGGGGGUAGAAUUCCAGGUGUAGCGGUGAAAUGCGUAGAGAUCUGGAGGAAUACCGGUGGCGAAGGCGGCCCCCUGGACAAAGACUGACGCUCAGGUGCGAAAGCGUGGGGAGCAAACAGGAUUAGAUACCCUGGUAGUCCACGCCGUAAACGAUGUCGAUUUGGAGGUUGUGCCCUUGAGGCGUGGCUUCCGGAGCUAACGCGUUAAAUCGACCGCCUGGGGAGUACGGCCGCAAGGUUAAAACUCAAAUGAAUUGACGGGGGCCCGCACAAGCGGUGGAGCAUGUGGUUUAAUUCGAUGCAACGCGAAGAACCUUACCUGGUCUUGACAUCCACAGAACUU